rnacentral:SRP_RNA from 1 species
GCAAGGCCUUACGCGGCGGCGCUAUCGUGAACCCCGCCAGGACCGGAAGGUAGCAACGGUAAGCGGUCAGACCGGGUGCCGUAAGUCUCCCUUGCAGGAGUUGCACUUACA